CUUCAGAUUUUAUUUUUAAAUAAUUUCUACAUCCAACAUGAGGCUCUAACCCACAACCAAGAUCAAGAGUCAUACCCUCCACCGACUGAGCUCACCAGUGGUGAGCAGACUGAGGUGGUCCAUUGAUCCUUCCUCCUGGCCUUCAUGUCUUUGCAUAAGUGCCUCCCUGAGUGUGGGGUGGGGCUUGUUCUAACCAAUAGAAUGAGUGUGGGUGGGGCUUGUUCCUGAGUGUGGGUGGGGCUUGUUCUAACCAAUGCAAUGAGGCAAAGGUCAUGGCCGGGCUGUGAUUAUGUGCCCCCGGUUACACUGUAGAAGAUGGCAGUGACCAUCUUGCUCAGAGACCUCCAGGCUGGCUUUGACAAGCAAGCUGCCAUAUUGUGGACCACCUACGGAGAGGGUGGGAUACUGAGAUCCUGGCUGACACAGGCGAGAAACUGAGGCCUCUGUCUGACAAGCUGCAAGGAACUGAACUCUGCCAACAACCACAUGAGCUUGCACAGAUCCUUCCCCAGUCAGGCCUCAGAUGAGGCCCCAGCCCUGACUGAAGUCUCCCGAAGACUCAGACAUUUCUACGGACUCGCCUCGCCUCACCACUGUCCCCUCCCCACCAAACACAAAGCCCUGAUUGUACCGUUUGCCAAUUUUCAUGGUGUAAAUACUCCCACCAUGAUUUCAAGAUGCCAACGUGGUAUCGGUGAAUGCGGAGUUAAGAAAUAGGCAUGAUCAGCUAAGGCUGAGAGCCCGCCCCCGCUCUGCAAGGUCAAGUGUGCACCAUUCAACAGCCAUGGAAUCCUGUGACUCUCACUCUGUCCUGCACCUGCUUCCCGGGGAGAUGAAGCCAAGGCCAGCAAGCACAGUGGGGUGGAUGUGUCAACCCAUCCGUUCCUCACAGAUGACAGUAGGUGGGGAGAGUCUGUCACUGAGAAGCGUGGGGCAGAAAGCCAUGAAGGGUCAUCAGGCAAACGAUGAGCUCGUGCUCUCUCUCUAAACAAACAAACAAACUUAAAAAAAGAAAAACUUCAGAGGGUUGAUCAAACUUCCCAGCUCCAGAGAAUUGAGGAAUCUAAAAUCCUGGAGAGAGGAGCCGGAUGAGCGAUGUCACAUGCAAGCGUGUGACCUCGGGCUUCCUCGGUCCUCUUCAGCAGCUGGACAACCAGCCCUGAGAAUCCCCCAGAUGACUCAGUUUGAUUACUGCCCAUGACUCCCUCUGAGCUCCAUUAAGAAACAUUGGUUUUUUGGAAAACAAGCAUUUGAGAAGAGGUCUCAGCUCCCUGGAUUUCUGGGUGAUUCCCUGUGCGGUUGGCUGCCCCUCCCCCCCACCCCUGCCCCCUGGCCCCGCUGUCAGACAUUCUGAGCUUCCCGCAGUCUUUGUCAGAAAGGUGAUCAUCACAGCUGGGCCCCCCUGGGCUCUGUGGGUCUGGGUUAGUCCCUGGAAAGCUGCUUCUCACGGACAGUGGAAAUGGGGUCCCGAAGGGGCCUCGUGCUGUGCUGGCCUCUGUGAACCCCUCCUGUGCCUGAAUCCCAGGAAUAGAGAAGGGGACCCAUAUUGAGCACUAGUACCACAGACUUAAGUUUGUGGGAACGGAGUCCCUCCCAAAGCCUCCAUCUUAUGCCUGGAACUGAGAAGCGUUUCACUCCAAACGCUAAGACGUCAAGGGUCUAAAGAGCCGUGGAUGUGGCCCCCGCCAUACUUGUCCAACAGGAGGCUGUGGACGACGCCCCCGCGGCACUCGGGGUUCCCCUGGAAGCAUGUGGCGGAUCCCCUUUGGGAUACAACCCUUCAGGCCCCGUCGUUGCCAGGGAUAUAUAUGUAUCUUAGGCAAAGCCGUUGCUAAUAGGAAUUUGGGAGCACAUAAGAUGGGUGCGUGCAGCUAACAGGAAUAUACAACGUUCAGGAGACUCUGAGGCUGGAUCACACGGCUGAGAAACGCCUUCGGCUCACCGUCCACACAGGAGGACAAGGCCAUCUCAGGGAGAAACGAUCGUUAGGAGGGCCAGGUAACUCAGAGAUGACUUCCCUGUGCUGAGGCAGCUCAGGAUAGUUAGCCCACCACCGUCGUUGGAUUGGGGCCGUGGGGAAGGGGGUGUUAAAACUUAGAACCCAAGCUUUGGUGUCUAAAAGCCACAGGCUGAUCGAGAAAAGAGGAAGAAAGGGCACAGUCUUUGGAUUUCUUCCUCCGCGCGGCCACGUUCCAGCAUGCAGUUCGGCUCAUUGGCAGGGUCAAGAUGGGGGAAAGGUUGCUGCUGCAGAACAUUCAAGAAGCUUGAGAACAGAACAGAUUGGAAAAUGGAUGUCCAUCUAUAUUACACUUUAUACUUGUCGGCUGCAUAAUGGCUCCAGAGAUGUCCCUCCGUGUCCUAAUCCUUAGAAUCCAUGCACAUUCUACCUCCUAUGGUAAACAGGACCUUGCAGAUAUAAAGGCCGGUGAGCUACUGAGGAGCCCUCCUCACCCCCACCUCUGCACUUAAGAGACUGAGCCGUGUGCCCACCUCCUGUGGGCCCUGGAGUUUCUGGAAGCUCUGGUUGUCAGAACACGCCCCACAGGGGUGAGCCACAUCCGGGAGAAUUUCCGCAGCUCGUCCUCCCUCCCUGGAAGGAAAAGCGGCCAGAAGCCCACAGAAAUCUGAGGUGACUACAGAGAGGAACGUGAGCACUGGGUGAGGAGCCCCCCCAAGGCUCCCCGGCCCUUUCACUCUCUCCUGCCUAGGCUGUGUGGACCGCCCGGGGGCUGGCCAGUGUAGGGGCUUUGCCUGGGAGUGGAGACCCGGAUGCUGGAUGGCCAGGCCCCCUCCAAGGCCAGAACUCUCCUGCAGGGGGGCAGGCCCUCCUAGGGGAGUUCAGCAGGGGGCUACUUCCUGAGGCCUGAUGGGUACAGGAGUGAAGUCUGGCCAAGGGAGCCAUUCGUUAAAGAAGUUGGCUGGAAGAGAGACUGAUAGGAGAGGGGGUUAAAGGCAUGGAAGGAUCCAGAAAGACUUGUUUUCAGGAAAAGAAACAUCUGGGUAUAUUUGUGUGCAUGUAUA